UUCUUUAGGAGGUGCUGGAGCUGGCUUUCUCUGUCCUCUAUGAAUCUGACGAGUAUCUAAACUUCAUUGCCCCUGACAAGCAUGAGUACUGCGUGUGGACAGAUGGGCUGAAUGCACUGCUGGGGAAGGAGAUGACCAGUGAGUUCACUCGCUCAGACAUGGACACUCUUCUCAACAUGGAGAUGAAGCUCCGCCUCUUGGACCUGGAGAACAUCCAAAUCCCUGAAGUUCCUCCCCCAAUCCCCAAAGAGCCAAGCAAUUAUGACUUUGUUUAUGACUGCAACUAAUUCCCUUUCACUGGACUGACUGAUUUUUCCUAAAUGCAUACUGGAAGAAGGACUUUUACAAAAAGUUAAAGAAAAGAAAAAACGGAAAUUUCUUUCAUGCUAAAACUUGGCUCUCUAGUGCGCCUCAUCACAAUGGAUUUGCUGAACUUAAUGGACUUGGCUUGCACGGCCUAUGAACCAUCUGGUCUGGUUGAAGAACCACCACAAACUGGUCCUCAGGUCCUAAACCAUUCUAGUCCUGUCGCAGUCAUUUCCAGACAUCUCUUCGAACGGUUACAUUCCUUAAACAGCCCACCUGCUCUGGCUUAAAAAUGGUUGUGUCAAGAGUUUUUGUCCCAUCAUAAUUUCUGUCUGUUCAGAGUGGGAUGCUCCCUGUAGAGUGUGCAAAAUGUCUAGGGGAUUGUGGCAUGUAGCACUCACUGUAGGAUGUUUCUCACUCCAACAAGCGGCAGCUAUAUUGCUAGCAAAGUCCCAAGUUUGUUCUUAAUGAUUUCUCCCAAGUAUCCCAUUCAUGCCUCUUAUACUUGUAGACUGUUAAAUUAAAUAGGCAGCUUCAUGCAAGAGGUUGCCUCUUUUGUCUUAAACCAUACCUGCUUUGUGCACACAUUAUCAUUGUCUGACUGUAACGCAGGCAUGUAGAUAUAGCUCUUUCCUUCACUUGACAUCAACUAGACUCAUGGCAGACUGCUGUAACAUUCCAGAGCAAUAUUGAGCUUCUGUUUUUGUAAGCUGGUAUAAACUUUCGUGAUAUUCGUGAUUGCUGCCAAGUAGUCAGUAUUAUACAUUGAGUGUUUAAGGAAUUUUAUUUUCAGGGCCGUCAAAUUUAAUUUGAACUUUCAUGAUUAAUUUAAUUUAAGAUUGUGGGUAUUAUGAUUUUUUUUUACCCCUCAUGUUUGUUAUAGUUUAAGAACGCAACAUCCUGCUGUUUGCAUUAAAGAUGGAUUCCAAUUCA